GCUCAGGAGCUUGCUCCUGUGACGCGAGUGGCGGACGGGUGAGUAACACGUAGGCAACCUGCCCAUCAGACCGGGAUAACCACGGGAAACCGUGACUAAUACCGGAUAAUCCUUUUCCUCACAGGAGGGAAAGUUGAAAGGCGGUCUUUUGACUGCCACUGAUGGAUGGGCCUGCGGCGCAUUAGCUAGUUGGUGGGGUAAGGGCCCACCAAGGCGACGAUGCGUAGCCGACCUGAGAGGGUGAUCGGCCACACUGGGACUGAGACACGGCCCAGACUCCUACGGGAGGCAGCAGUAGGGAAUCUUCCGCAAUGGACGAAAGUCUGACGGAGCAACGCCGCGUGAGUGAAGAAGGGUUUCGGCUCGUAAAACUCUGUUGUCAGGGAAGAACGUCCCCGUGAGUAACUGCACGGGGAGUGACGGUACCUGACCAGAAAGCCACGGCUAACUACGUGCCAGCAGCCGCGGUAAUACGUAGGUGGCAAGCGUUAUCCGGAAUUAUUGGGCGUAAAGCGCGCGUAGGCGGUCUGUUAAGUCUGAUGUGAAAGCCCCCGGCUCAACCGGGGAGGGUCAUUGGAAACUGGCAGACUUGAGUGCAGAAGAGGAGAGUGGAAUUCCAUGUGUAGCGGUGAAAUGCGCAGAGAUAUGGAGGAACACCAGUGGCGAAGGCGGCUCUCUGGUCUGUAACUGACGCUGAGGUGCGAAAGCGUGGGGAUCAAACAGGAUUAGAUACCCUGGUAGUCCACGCCGUAAACGAUGAGUGCUAAGUGUUAGGGGGUUUCCGCCCCUUAGUGCUGCAGCUAACGCAUUAAGCACUCCGCCUGGGGAGUA
rnacentral:rRNA from 1 species